ACACAACAGAGGCCGCGGCGGCUUUGUUAGCCAGGCCGGGCACGGCCCAGAGGGAGCCCGCCUCGGCCACUGCCUUCGCAGCCAGCGCCGCGGCGCACACCCGGACCCCACCUCCCCACCCGGGCCGCCGCUACCCCUCGGCCUCCCUGCCGAAGCGGCGGCCUUUCAGGCCCUAGAUCCGGCCCGGCCUCAAGAGGCGACCUCCGUUCGGGCCCAUCCAAGCCGGGCCGCAUCCAGCCCGCCGCCUCCCUCUCCCUCUGCCCGGCGUCCACGACCCGCAGCGUCCGCCCGGGGUGAGCGGGGCGCCGCGUCUCACCGAAUUUAAGGCGAAGAGGAAAGAGCCAGAAAUCCCCGAUGUACCGGCAACUGCGGCGGUGUCUCCUCUGCGACCGGAACUAACGCCAGGAGGAGGGAGAGGUGCCACCCCCGCCCGGACCGCUCUCCUAUCGCGAGAUUUCUUCCCCUUGCCCCGCCCUGAUCGUGGACAGGCGCUUCCGCCUUUUCUAUUGCGCGCGGAUUAGGCAGCUUGUUUGGAACACAUGGAGUGGAGGAUGGAUAAUUUCCCAAAGGAAGAGACAGCAGUCAAAUAAAAACAACAGGAGCAUUACAUCAAGUCUUUGGGUUUAAAACAUUUUUUGGAUGAGAGGAGGCUGGAUGUUCCUGGCUCCUGGGGCAUGGGACUGUGUCAUUCCCUUCAAUUGACAACUGUGAAAAGAAGGCCAUUCGAACCCAUUCUGGCGUUGCUGGGCUCUUCACCGUGAAGUCCUCAGCUAUGUCUCUUUCUCUUCGCACUGCGGCCACAGCGUCAGCAAUGGCAAAGAACACAGAUGACCCCAGGAACAUCCCAGACUCCCCGAGGCCCUGUAAGAAGGCACAUUGGUGUAAGAAACUUCCAUACUACACUACAAGUUUCUAGAGGGUAGGGGCCAGGUCUCGUUCACCAUUGUGUCCCCAACCCCUGCACAGUGUUUUGUACACAAAAUCUUCUCAAUAAAUGUUUGUUGGCUGACUUA
rnacentral:lncRNA from 1 species